CAAGCACACAGCUUAAGGGCCCAGUUACAAAGUUUUCUGGGUUUUAAGCCCUCCUUUGGAGAUUCCUAUCAGUUACCCCUGAUCUGGAUGAAGGAUUUGGUCCGUGGCUAAUUACAGGCUGGGGUGAAUUAGAGCCCUAGGCAGAUGAAGGCAUGGCCCCUGCUCGGCCCGCGGCCAAUCCAGGGCACUCUCCCUUUCCAUCUGAGCUGUGGUGGAAGCCGGAGGGCUGUAGGGAGAGUGGCCUUUGAUCCUUUGUUACUGGGCGUGGGGAGCUGGGGUUUUCUCUUUUGGUUUAGCUUUAGGAAGUUGGCAUUAAUUGUUCUUUGGUUCCCUGCCCCAGACACAGGUGCUCCCCUUUUGGUCCAGCUUUGGGAAAUUAUCGUGAAUUGGCCUCAGAGUCCUGCCCCCAGACCUUGGUGUUUUCCCUUGAUUCAGCUUUAGGAAGUCGGCAUGAAUUGGGCUUAAGUUCCCUGCCUCCAGACCCUAUUCUCCUGCCUCAGCGGUAAGGAGACUUCUAUGGCGAUGUGCUUCCACCAGAACACAAAAACGGGAGCUGCUGGAGUCUCCUUAAUGCCUGGUCUUGGCUGCCCCCGGAAUGUCACCUCUGCCUCAUUCUACUAUCAAGGUGGUUGCAGGGACAGCCCAGGUUCAAAGGAAGGAGAAGUAGACUCCCCCUCUUUUGACUGGCAAGGGGACAUUGCAAAAAAUCCUGUCGUUUGGGGGGGAUUGUUGUAGUCAUCUUUGGAAACACAAUCUGCAACUUUGAUGUUCAUCAAAGAAAUCUGCUUGAGCUGUGAGCUCAACUGGUAUUCGACUUAAGAAAUCCACAAAAUCGGUUCUGAACUGCAUUUUCAUCUCAGCGUUUGGCCACGGGCAAUGAGAGCUUCAUUCAGAAGAGUCACAAAAUCGUUCUGACUAAGACCAUUUUGUCUAGAUCAGUAAUUUGGGGAUUUGCCUGUCUCAGUGCCAUCAGAAGCAACCACCUAACCCAGAAAUGCUAACAUUCCUCUUCUUUCAGCAGUCACUGACUACCUACAUCCCUCAGCUCCCUCCCCAUCUCACAUCACCCUCAGGGGCCUCUGAGCACAGCAUCACCGAGGGGGCCACAGCAGCAGAACCUCCUACCCAGAUCUCUGUAGGCACUGCCAUCAUGUGACUAAACUCCCCUCUCAACCACAACCUCCAGCUACAGGGCUCUCAUCCAAGUCAAAAAUCCAAAGACAGGCGUCUGGCUGGCUGCAGGAGUCCAGAGCCAUGAGUGUCCCUAAAUUAGUCAACCAUGGCUGGGAGACAGAGCCAUGCAAUCCAGACCCAGCUCUUCUGCUCACUGGGGCCGUUCCCGGAGAAGGAGAAACCACGCUGGAGCGGGCACUCCCACGAGUUGUCGGGGAACAAGAACUCGGAUCCUGGCGGGAGAGAGCGAACAGUACACCCGAGCGGCGGCUGUCACCCGCUUUGAAACACGUUGAAAAUUUCUAUUUGAAGUUGGAUCAAAGAAAAAUAUGAAGGGAGAGAUGAUGAUAAAGAAUGAAAACAGGACCCUCCUUCAACCACUGAAAUGGGAACACUGUGCUUUCUCUGAGCAGCAGUUAAAGCCCUGCAGAUGCUCCAGAAGGGGAACCUGCAGAUGCUCCAGAAGGGGAACCUGCAGAUGCUCCAGAAUGGGAACCUGCAGAUGCUUCAGAAGGGGAACCUGCAGUUGCUCCAGAAGGGGAACCUGCAGAUGCUCCAGAAGGGGAACCUGAAGAUGCUUCAGAAGGGGAACCUACAGAUGCUCCAGAAGGGGAAGUCUUUGUUUCCCAGGACUCACUCACAGCUUUGCCCACUGAAUUCUCCAGAAGGGGCAUUUAUGAGCUCUGAGGAAAGCUGAAUCCAGGCAGUUACCCAGACUAUGACUGUCUUAGUGUGCUCAAGCUGCUGUCACAAAACUCCAUGUACUGAGUGGCUCACAGUUCUGGAGGCUGGAAAGUCCAAGAGCAAACAGCAGAUCUGGUGUCUGGUGAGGGCUACUUCCUGGUUUGUGCAUGGUCUUCUCAUUGUAUCCUCACAUGGCAGAGAACAGAGAGAGGAAAAACCCUCACAUUUCUUAUAAGAUCACUCAUCCCAUCACAAGGGCCCCACCCUUAUGACCUAAUGAUCUCCCAAGGCCCCAUCUCCAAAUACCAGCAGCUUUGGAGUCAGGGUUGCAACAUAUGAAAUUUGGGGCACAAAAACAUUCAGUCUAUAGCAAUGACUGAGUCUUUUUCUAACAGUGGCAGUAGUCUUUUUUUUUACACAGCUAAUUUUGUGCUUGUUUUUCAGUUCUUUACACAUUAAUAGCAUAUCGUUUAGAAAUUCAUAUAUAUAUUUAAAGACCUUGAUAUGCCACCCUUUGAGUUACAACUGGGACAGUUGGGAGAGGGGAAAGUGUUCGAGUGGGAUGAAGAGCUAGGAGAGGCUCCAUGGCCGGAGGCCUGGUCCACUUCGUUUUUGUACCGGAAGGGCUCAUCGCCAGUUUAAUUGAGAAGAUAUGUGCAGAUGAGGACUUCUGUCACCAGAAAUUAGUAUGUUGGAGUUAACACUAAAAAGAAAAACAAAGGAACAAGUGAUUCUCCUGAUGGAGGAUGGAAAGGAAAGGUGUCACGGAGUACUUCUAAGAUAAUGGUAAAGAUCUAUCUGAGGCUGGGCAUGGGGGCUCAUACCUGUAAUCUUGGCACUUGGGAAGCCAAGGGGGGCAGGCCAGGAG